GAUCUGUAGCGGGUCUGAGAGGAUGAUCCGCCACACUGGAACUGAGACACGGUCCAGACUCCUACGGGAGGCAGCAGUGGGGAAUUUUGGACAAUGGGGGCAACCCUGAUCCAGCCAUGCCGCGUGAGUGAAGAAGGCCUUCGGGUUGUAAAGCUCUUUCGGCCGGGAAGAAAUCGCAUGGGCCAAUACCCUGUGUGGAUGACGGUACCGGAAUAAGAAGCACCGGCUAACUACGUGCCAGCAGCCGCGGUAAUACGUAGGGUGCGAGCGUUAAUCGGAAUUACUGGGCGUAAAGCGUGCGCAGGCGGUUUUGUAAGACAGGCGUGAAAUCCCCGGGCUCAACCUGGGAACUGCGUUUGUGACUGCAAGGCUAGAGUACGGCAGAGGGGGGUGGAAUUCCACGUGUAGCAGUGAAAUGCGUAGAGAUGUGGAGGAACACCAAUGGCGAAGGCAGCCCCCUGGGUCGAUACUGACGCUCAUGCACGAAAGCGUGGGUAGCAAACAGGAUUAGAUACCCUGGUAGUCCACGCCCUAAACUAUGUCAACUAGGUGUUGGGUGGGUAAAACCAUUUAGUACCGUAGCUAACGCGUGAAGUUGACCGCCUGGGGAGUACGGCCGCAAGGUUAAAACUCAAAGGAAUUGACGGGGACCCGCACAAGCGGUGGAUGAUGUGGAUUAAUUCGAUGCAACGCGAAAAACCUUACCUACCCUUGACAUGCCAGGAACUUGCCAGAGAUGGCUUGGUGCCCGAAAGGGAGCCUGGACACAGGUGCUGCAUGGCUGUCGUCAGCUCGUGUCGUGAGAUGUUGGGUUAAGUCCCGCAACGAGCGCAACCCUUGUCGUUAAUUGCCAUCAUUUAGUUGGGCACUUUAGCGAGACUGCCGGUGACAAACCGGAGGAAGGUGGGGAUGACGUCAAGUCCUCAUGGCCCUUAUGGGUAGGGCUUCACACGUCAUACAAUGGUCGGUACAAAGGGUCGCCAAGCCGCGAGGUGGAGCCAAUCCCAGAAAGCCGAUCGUAGUCCGGAUUGCAGGCUGCAACUCGCCUGCAUGAAGUCGGAAUCGCUAGUAAUCGUGGAUCAGCAUGUCACGGUGAAUACGUUCCCGGGUCUUGUACACACCGCCCGUCACACCAUGGGAGCGGGUUCCGCCAGAAGUAGGUAGCCUAACCGCAAGGAGGGCGCUUACCACGGCGGGGUUCGUGACUGGGGUGAAGUCGUAACAAGGUAGCCGUAGGGGAACCUGCGGCUG
rnacentral:rRNA from 1 species